AGUCAUUACGUCAUUUAAUACCGCAUUCUCUUUUCUCCCCGUUCAACGCACCAGUCAAUGAGACUCCUUCCAUUCCGAAGGCCCUUUAUGCCCAUAUGUAUUUGGCCAGAUCUACAAUGGUGUGGCCAAAUGGAGAAGAAUGAGGUCCGAGAAAUCCAGACCAAACUACUCGUGACAAUUUUAAAGCCAAAUCCUUUUGAUCGGCAGGAUGUCAUGUUUAAUGUUGUGGCUUUUUAGCAUGCGUAUCUGUGCAAUGACUAACAGAACCAUGGCCCCCACAUGGUAGUGACUGACCGGACUCUAGUCAGGGGGCCUGGUGUGAAGAUGGUCAGCUUGUAUUUUUUGCUUUGCUUGGACUUUCUUGUGGAAUAUUGAGUUCAAUUUAAUUGGAGUAUUUAAUUCGUGUCAUUCUUUCAUUUCUUGUGUUGAUUCCUAUUUCGUUUCUGUUUUUAAUGUCGUGUCUGUCAUUGCAAAAUUUGUCGGUGAAAUUCCUCUAUUGUCUCUAAUAAAUCUAAUCUGCUUUUGUAAA